UUCUCGGUUCGGUUCCGGUUCGGUUCGGUUAUUUCGGAUAUAAAAAUAUAGGAACCGUUCGGGUAUUUGAGGGUAUUGGUCCGGUUCCGGUUUCGGGUAUUUCGGUUCGGUUCCGGUUCGGUUCUUCGGUUCCGGUUAUUUUGCCCAGGCCUAGUGUUGAUAUUGAAGGAAUUUACCAGUUUAUCCAGGUUAAUAGGAAGGUCUCUCUCUAUCUAAUUAUCUGUUUCCAUGGUUUUGAUCUGAGUUGAUGCGGGUGAGACAAUGAUUGCCACUUGGUUUGCUUACUCCUCCAUUGUUCUUGAUCACCAUCAUCAUGCUGCACGUCAGUCAAAACUGUUUUGGUGGUUGAUAAAUUGCAGGAAAGGUUUAAAAGGAAUGUUGUACGGCCAAAUCAUAGGCAGCUGUUGGAAGAAGGGCUGCAAAAACGUGUUUCUCAAUGCAUACUAGAGAAGGUAGAAACCCACUACAAGAUCCUCGAUAUUACUCCUGAAAAACUAGAUGAGAUAAAUGAGGCCGCAGCAAAAGCAGUUGCAGUGUCUGAUCAGAAAGAUUUAGAAGCGAAAGCAGCAUACGAAGCUGCAGAUAGGGCCAAAAAGGUGCUGGAAGAAAACGAACUAGUCUUGCAGGCGGCCAAAGAAGCUCUUGACCGAUGUACCAAAGGCGACUAGCUAGGUUUCCCUGCCUGCCCUAAAAGCUCUACCUUCUGGUCUGGUUCAAUGUAGACGUAUUGGAGGACUGGUUCUUUGAUAGUUUGGGUUUUGAGUUGCAUAUAUGUGAUUUCAUUGACUAAAACUUUGUCACUUUCUGUUUAGCUUUUGAGGUUAAACGUUUCUGGUUGUAUAUAACUAAAGUUUCAGAGAAUGUGGCGGUGGGGUGGGCAGCUUUAUAUGAACGAAUCACUUUCAAGGAAAUCAGUUCAGCUUGUGGUAUACUCAUGAUGCAACGCUUUUACAAACGCAAGUUCUCCGUACCGUUAACAUUUGACUCAAAGCAUGAAAUAUCCUUAGCUCUUCACCAAUGCUGCUGCAUUACCUUCUCUUCAGAGGUUUCGAUAUUACCAGGUUUUGUAGAAUGCGAAGCCUUUCAGAGUCAGAUUACAACAGCUUUUAUUGCAGCAGAGGCAGUCAAAGAAGCGAGGAGAAGAAGUUGAGAAAGCUUACACUUAGAUUCCCAGCUAAAAGCUCUCGUAUACAACGAGAAUAAGAAACAGUAGCAGCAGACAUCGGAGCUCCGCACAAUCGGCGACGCAGUCACUGGGUCAAAUGUAAUAUACGAUAAAAGAUUUGAUCUUUCGACUUGUGUUUCUCUCUGACAAGAACUAAAAGGUUUUGUACAAAACUAUACAAAUUCGAUUCGUAAUGAGAAAAAGGAAAUUUGGAUCAAAAAGAAGAAAAAAAGAAAAGAUGCAGAAAUUGGGAGACGAAAAGCCAACUGAUCCAGAAAAAGAAUGCAACUUCAAGAACCCACAUUGCACAUCAUUUCAUCAACCGUCUUUUGCUUUGUUUUAAUUUUUUGGCAGGUUGUCUUGUCAUAGAGCUUCUAAGUUUUUAAGUUUUGGGUUUGGUUCGGCUACGUGGACUGGUUCUUUAAUAUUGGGCGAGGGAAUAGAUAACUGUUUCCUUGUGUGAUACGUCAACAAUGUUUCUUAACACUAUACUUUUUUUUCAGUAGAAUUUUUAUUGAUAAUUUUGGAAAGAUACACGGUGAAAUCCUAAUAGCCGGCGGAAGACAUAGAUAUCCCCGGAAACUAAACCCAAAACACGGGAAACUAAAACCCAAACAUACGGGCCUCAUACGAACAACUGAAACAUAGACUAAACUCUUACAUUCCUUCAAAAACCCAUAAUCUAAUUAUCAGUGAUAAAAGAACCAAUAUUUGAUUGCUUAAGACUAGCCGAAGAUCUUACCAACAACU